UAUUAAAUGUAGUUGGAAAGGGGGAGAGAGAGGUCGGAAUCUGGACACAAUCUCAUGGAAUUUCAAGGGAAUUCAACAUGAAUGCAGCAAAUUCUUCAUCAACUUUGAAGGAAAACUUUCGAGCAAUUAUAUGGCCUAAAGAUUCAACACAUGUACCGAAAGGCUAGGAAAUUCCAGUAAAAGGUAAGAAGCUAAGAAUUGGGGUCCCAGUAAAAGAUGGUUUUACUGAAUUUGCAAAGGUGGAAAUAGACUCUCAAUCCAAUUCCACAACAUUCAGUGGAUAUUGUAUAGAAAUAUUUGAUUAUGUAUUAAAAGCAUUACCAUACGAUGUGCCAAGUGAGUACGUUCCCCUCAAGAAAGUUGAUGAUGAGAAUUAUUAUAAUGAUCUGGUAUACCAAGUUAAUCUUCAGCAGGUGGAGGGGUUUUCAUGAUAGUACCAAUUACAUAUGAGGACAAUAACAGUAAAUGGAUCUUCUUGAAACCGUUCAAUAUGGACCUGUGGCUAACAAGCAUAGCUUUCUUCAUCUUUACUGGAUUUGCUGUUUGGGUUCUUGAACAUCGAAUAAAUAUUGCAUUUAGAGGUCCACCUUCCCAGCAUGUUGGUAUGAUCCUUUGGUUCCCCUUUCCAUCACUAGUAUUUGCACACAGAGAAAAAAUAGUGAGCAACUUGGCUAAGUUUGCUGUGGUGAUAUGGUUGUUUGUGGUGCUUAUAUUGGGCUCGAGCUACACUGCAAGCUUGUCAUCUGGAUAAACAUUGCAAAGGCUUUAACCAAUUGUGACUGAUGUGAACUCACUCUUAAAAAAUGGGGACUAUGGUGGGUACCAAUAUAGCUCUGUCAUUGGUGAUAUCUUGAAGGGAAUGAAGUUUAAUGAAUCCAAACUCAAGUCGUACAAUUCUCGUGAAGAUUGUCAUGAAGCUUUAUUAAAAGGAAGUAAAAAUAAAGGCAUAUCAGCUUUUUUUGAUGUGCUGCCUUACAAUACGAUUUUCCUUUCCAAAUAUUAUGACAAAUACAUGGCAAUAAGGUCCCUCUAUUGACAAAUACAUGGCAAUAAAGGCUAUGGUACUGAUUCACUACUAAAGGUGCAUGUACUUGGUUAGAGCAUCCAAAUUAGAAGUGGUUCCUUCAAUCCCAUCUUGAAUUUAGUAAAUUUUUGGUAUUUGAGGAUUUCAUCACACUAUACACAGAUAUAUGUUUGGUAUCAAAGUAGGAAUUGUGAUCCUGUAAUUAUGUUUGGAACUGUUUAGUUGAAACAUACUAUGGUUGACAAUAUAAUUAUUCAAAAGAUAGCAGUAAUAGGGAAAGUCUAUUCUUACAUAAAAUUUAUGCAAAAAGUGUAUACAGAAUGAUAUGAUGAUGAAAUUUUUGAAAUUAAGUUCCUUCUUAUGGAUGUUUUAAUUUAAAACGAAUUGCUCAGUUCAAACAUGUCAUGCUGUACCCAAAAAAAUGUAUUUCUUUGUUCAUAUAGCUUAUCACCCGUAGUAAUAUUGCUCAUUCAUGAUAUAAAUCACCUUCUUUGCAUUUAUAUUUACAGGUUUUCCCUAAAGGGUCUCCUUUAGUUACUGAUAUAUCUCGUGCAAUAAUCAACAUAACAGAAGGUCGUAAGAUUUUGGACACUGAGCAACAGUGGUUUGGAAAUACCACAUGU